CAGGGAAUCUUGGGCAAUGGGCGAAAGCCUGACCCAGCGACGCCGCGUGGAGGAAGAAGGCUCUCGGGUUGUAAACUCCUUUUCCGAGGGAUGAGUAAGGACAGUACCUCGGGAAUAAGCCCCGGCUAACUACGUGCCAGCAGCCGCGGUAAUACGUAGGGGGCGAGCGUUACCCGGAAUCAUUGGGCGUAAAGAGUGCGUAGGUGGCCAGGUAAGUCCUCGUUGAAAGCUCCCGGCUAAACUGGGAGAGGUGCGGGGAAACUACUUGGCUUGAGGACAGUAGAGGAAGGUAGAAUUCCCGGUGUAGCGGUGAAAUGCGUAGAUAUCGGGAGGAAUACCAGUGGCGAAGGCGGCCUUCUGGGCUGGCCCUGACACUGAGGCACGAGAGCGUGGGGAGCAAACUGG
rnacentral:rRNA from 1 species